ACUCAAAUGAAUAGACGGGGGCCCGCACAAGCGGUGGAGCAUGUGGUUUAAUUCGAUGCUACGCGAAAAACCUUACCUGGGCUUGACAUCCCGCGCAACCUGAUGAAAGUCGGGGUUCCCUUCGGGGACGCGGAGACAGGUGCUGCAUGGCUGUCGUCAGCUCGUGUUGUGAGAUGUUGGGUUAAGUCCCGCAACGAGCGCAACCCCUGUUCCUAGUUACCAUCAUUAAGUUGGGCACUCUAGGAAGACCGCUAGGCUAUAAGCCAGAGGAAGGUGGGGAUGACGUCAAGUCCUCAUGGCCUUUAUGUCCAGGGCAACACACGUGCUACAAUGGGAGGUACAAUGCGCCGCAAGCACGCGAGUGCAAGCUAAUCGCAAAAAACCUCUCUCAGUUCGGAUUGGAGUCUGCAACUCGACUCCAUGAAGCUGGAAUCGCUAGUAAUCGUGGAUCAGCACGCCACGGUGAAUACGUUCCCGGGCCUUGUACACACCGCCCGU
rnacentral:rRNA from 1 species